rnacentral:lncRNA from 1 species
GUCUUGUUUCUUUGGUGAGUAUACAUUUAAGUGCAACAACGGAUCCUUCAUGUGGAUAUAUAGUACAUCUCCGGAUCUGUUGCUAAUCUCCUUAGUGUUGAUAGCCCAAUCACCCGGUCUCUCAUUUGCUUCCGUGCGUGACUCUUGAGAAUGAUGCGAUAAGGAGAAGACGGGUAGUGGUUGACUUGCUGUCUCAAUGAAGGUAGGCUUGGCGACGCAUGAAUCACGUGUACGCUCCUCCACCAAGUCUUCUUAUUUGCCCAUCAAAUGCUACGACUUUUGACUUCAAAUUUUCGAGCCUGGAAUGAUUCAGGUCGCGAGUCCCAAGUUUUCUGAUAAUAUCUCCUAUCCAUAAAACAGAGUGCAAACGUCUAACGAGUCUAAAUUAAGAUCAUAUCUUAUUAUUGUCAGAGUGAAAGAAGGACCACCUCAGUCUGACCAGACCACGCUUAUAAAAAAAGAAUAUUUUUUUUGAAUAAUAUUAAACAAUAUUGUAGUUAUUAUCGUUAAUUAUUUCAGAUUGACCACUUCUCAGAUCAGCGUAUACAAAAACAAUUUCCAUAGACCGUCUCGUGGCAAGAGCCGAUCUUGUUGGUCUCUUACCACUCUUCAUCUAUAGUUAGGCAGUCUUGGGGGCGAAGGCCGAAACUGUGGGCGAUAGGCUUUUGCGUAUACAAUAUGUCGCCAGGUUUCCUUCUCUGUAACCUCAGCUGCAGCUGCAGCUGCAGAGGAUAGAUUGCAUGAUCUUCUUUCAAGGAAUCAGAAGGUUGCCGUCGCAUUCACACAUGAAUUCGCUUCUGUCACCUUCUUAGCCAUCGUCUUCUUCAUAACCCUCAUUUUCCUCCUCCUUUCCCAGUUGGAAGCAAGCAAAGAGUGAGUAUAUAUUCUCAGAAACCAGAAUGAUGGACAGCGGAGGAAGAGCAAAAGACACAGUAGCAUAGCAGCUGAGCUGACUCUAUUCCAGUGACAGAGACCUAAUUUACAGAGCUCCACUCAUCUAACGCAAACACUCAUCUUGGUUUGUUCCUAUAUUACAGAGCAGGAGGAAGCAGCUACGGGAAUCGAAGGAGUUCCAAUCAGAUGGAAGGAACAGAUGCCAAGCAACCAUACAAGUAUUAGCCAGAUGCACGAGGACGCGUCGAUGUCGCAGCUCCGCCUUCCCGUUCACCGCUCCCAGAUAUGCUCCCCUUCCAGGUGGAGUAGAUGGCGGAGGUCAUGGAAGACCAUGAAUCCUUCAGUUCCGUAGCGAUCUGCUUCUUGAUGCUGCCCCUUGGUGGUGGGCACAAGUUCCCUCUUCCCCUCCUCUCCUGCUUGCCGGCGUCUUGGUGGCUCUUCAUCUCUUCCGUAACAGAGAGAGAGAGAGAGAGAGAGAGAGAGAGUGCGCGUUGUCGCUGGAGCGAUAGGCAACCGGAUAUAUAGAGGUGUGUCAGAAGAGUAGCCGACAUACGUCAUUGAAACGUGUGUUAGUAUUAGGAAAAAUAUUGUUAAAAAAAUAAAUUAUGAUAAAAUUAUGAUUUUUAAAUUAUAAAAAUUAUGAUAUUAUCAUAAAUCUAUCAAUAAUAAAGAUAAUGAUCUCAACAUGAUUUGAUGAAAUAAUUUAGAUAAAUAUUUUAUAUUAUAAAAAUAUAUAAUUAUCAUAAUAUCUUUUUGUGGAUAUAAAUUCAUACCUAAUAUUCAUAAAAAUUCAACCUAGUCAUUUCUUCUAAGAGCAUAGUUACAUUAAGAAUUUUUUUUUUUACUAUUGUUGCUUUAUCUCGAUUGAAGAUAGCAUUAUAAUUUUUAUUAAGCUUUAUGAUCUAACCCGCCUCUCUUUUUGGUAAGUUGCUUGUGUAUUUUCUUUUUCACUUUUUGAUGUGAUCGAUAAUAGCAUUAUAAUUAGUCACUCAUCUCAUAUCAUCUCCAAUAUUUUUAGUUUUGAAAAUACUAUUAUCUUCAUUGAUGUUAGAGUCCAAACUCGUCUUAAGCUCACAUCAACAAACUAUAUAUCUUAGUAUACUUAAUUUUAUUCUCUUUUAAUCGGUUAUGAUCUUACGAGUUAUAUAGAUGACAUAAUAACUUAUCCUCCAUAAACGAUUAAAGAGAAUAUUCUUAAAGUUAUUAAUUAUAAAUAUACUUUUUUUUUUAAUCCGUGAAGAUAUUUUUCUUCAUAGUAUUAUCAUUAUCUCUCUCCUCAAAUCAUUCUAUAUGUAAUCUCUAUAAAAUCCUCUUAAUGCAAAUGCAACAAAAUGUACUAGUUUUUAUUUUCUACAUCCUCUCUCAUAAGUAAUUCGCCUCUUAUACUUAUAUAUUCUAUUGUUUAAGAUCUUUCAUGAAUACGGAUUUAAGUACUAUCUUAUUUUUAUUUAUCAUUUCAUAAAUUACAUGCGGUUAUUUCCUAUGAAGCAAAAUUCAGUUUAUUGUUGAAAAUUUCUUUUAACGAUCCAUUAUUUCAUUUUACUCUGAUACCGGUGGUCAAAUUCGAAAGCUUCGUAAUUUUUUUGAAACCAAUAAAAUUUCUCAUUUUCUCACCCCUCCACAUACUCCUGAACAUAAUAGGACAAUGAAAUAUCGUCAUUAGCAUAUCGUCCAAACUAGCCUCAUACUCCUUACUCAAGUUUUCUUAUAUUUUUAAUUUUGAUCUCAUGCAUUUAUCACAUCAAUUUACCUUAUUAAUCGCAUACUUACUCUAAUUCUUAAUAUGGUUUCAUCAUUUGAAAACUUAUUUGGAUCCACUUAUAACUAUAGUAAAUUAUAUAUUUAUAGGCGUCUAUAUUAUCAAUGGUUAAAACUUUACACCUAUGUCUAGAAGCCCAAUCAAAAUCAUUCGUUUUUCUUGGAUAUUCUACUAAUCAAAGUAUCUUUAAAUGUUUUGAUUCAUCAACCAAAAGAAUUUUUAUUUCUCCUCAUGUUGAUUGUGGAAUUUAUUUUUCUUAUAUAAAUUACUUGACUCUUUUUUACCCAGAUUAACUUCCAAUAACUUUAUUGAUUGGGUUCUUAAAUUCAUGAGCUAUCUCAUAUUACCAUUCCCGUUUAGGUUAAAACAUCAAUCCCACCCACCAAUCCGAAUACUUUAUUUAUUCAAAUCCCAUCAUGUUCUUUCUCAAUGGUGCAUAAUGAAUAGGAGGUUACCUCAUCUAUCUAGCUGCCUUACGAGAGUAUUACACAUCAAAAGAAUUCACAAUAAUAUUUAGUUUUAAUAUCCUCUAUUUUAAGUUUUUCUAAUCCAAUAUGUUCUAGAGAUGUCAUUGACUAUAUACCAAUUCAUUUAAUAGUUACUAGAUCCAAAAAUCAAGUCUUUAAACUAAAUAAAUAUUUCUAUAUUUUUCUUAAAAAAAUCUCAAAAUUUUAUUUCUAUCUUCUAUUGUUAACCAAGCUGUAAAAAUUCCUAAAUGAUGAGCAGCAAUAUAUAAAAAAAAUAUAAUUUUUUAUUAUGAAAUGAUAUAUGAGACUUAGUCUUAUCCCAUCUAAGUCAAAACCUUGUAAGGUGCAAAUGAUAGAUCCAUUAAUAUGUAUAAAGCAAGAUUUGUUAUAAAGGAAUUUUAUUAACAUUUAGGUCUUGAGUAUCAUAACACAUUUAGCCCGAAGCCAACAAUAAUUCAUAUUAUUUUAUGUUUUUUCUUGUCUAAUAGUUAGGGACUUUGAUAGUUUGAUGUGAAUAAUAUAUUUCUUCAUGAUCAUAUUUUUGAGGAUAUAUUUAUAAGGUAACCUCAUAGCUUUAUUGAUCACAAUCUUCCUCAAUAUGUCUAUGAAUUGUGCAAGGCUCUUUGUGGUCUCAAGCAAGUCCCUUUAGCUUGGUAUCAUGAAUUUCAAACAUAUCUAUUCUCAGUUAGAUUUUAUAAUUCUCAAUAUGAUAAUUCGUUAUUCAUUUAUUCUUAUGAAGACAUAAUUAUAUUUUUUUUACUAGUUUAUGGAUGACUUAAUUAUUAUUAGUAAUAAAUCAAUAAUAAUUAAUUAGUUUAUUUAGUAGCUUAGAAAUAAUUAAUCUCGGGUUCUUAUGCUAUUUUCUUAGUGUUUAAGUUAUCCACAUGACAAAUAAUAUAUAUAUAUUUUCAACAGAAGUAUAUUCAUGACUUUUUAUCGCACCAAAAUAUUUGAAGCAAACUAUAUCAAUCUCUACGAGUGUUCCUUUACCCUAUAUGAUAGUGCUAAUCUAAGUGAUGUCAUUAAGUAUUAUCAAGUUGUUGACAAUCUACAAUAUUUGACAUUCACUCGUCCGAACAUUACAUAUAUAAUAAAUAAAUUAUCUUAAUUUAUGAAUAAGCUUACAUUCAAUAAUUGGACAACUGUUAAAUAUUUUCUUUGAUACUUAAAAGGCAAUAUUGAUUAUAGCUUAUUUCUUUGAAAGAACUAUCCUCUAUUGCUUCAUGCAUUUUCGAAUAUGGAUCGUAUAUAUAAUAAGGAUGACAAAACAUUUACUAGUGCUUCAAUCAUGUUUCUUGAUCACAUUCGAAUCUCUUGGAGUUCCAAAAAAUAUCUCUGUUGCAACAUCUUCUAUAGAGGCUGAAUAUCAAGUGGUUGCUUCUAUAACUUCUGAACUAUGUUUGAUUCAAUCGUUGCUAUAUGAAUUAUUUAUUAUAAUCUUUAAUCCUUCAUAUAUAUAUAUAUAUAUAUAUAUAUAUAUUGUGAUAAUAUCGAAGUAAUAUAUCUAUGCGCUAAUCGUAUAUUUUACUCUCGAACGAAGCACAUAGCUAUCAAUCAUUACUAUGUUCAUAGCAAAAUUCACAAUAGCAAGUUGUGUGUCUCUCAUGUUUCAUCUGAUGUUCAAUUUGUAGAUUCUGUUACUAAGUCUUUGUCUCGUUAGUAAUUCUUUCUACUUCAAUCUAAGAUCGAUGUCUCUGAUGGGAACACAAUUUUAUGAGGGUAUAUUAAAAGAGAUAUUAUUGAUAAAAUAAAUAAUAAUAAGUUCAUCAUGAUCCUCUCAAUAUUAACAUAUUUCUAAAUUAUAAAAAUUAUGAUAACAUAUUAUCAUGAUUCUAUCAAUAAUGAAUAUCAUGAUUUUAACAUGAUCUCCUAUGUUAUAAAAUAAUUUAGACAAAUAUUUUAUAUUUAUUAUUAAUUAAAAAUAUACAUAAAUUCAUAUUCACUAUCAAUAAAAAUUUGAAGUUAAUCAUAUUCUUAGUUAUUUAAUACGAUAAGAUACCAAGAUGUCUUCUUUAAUGAUCUUCUUUGAGUUUGGAUCUCCAAACUCCAAACUCCAAACUCCACGGCAUCUGUGAGUUGAAUCCUCCUUUCAACUGAAGACAUAACAUAAGCACAUCGAGCACUAAACAACGUGAUCAAUGUUUGGUGGAAUACAACCGAGCAGAGCUUAGAGACACCGAAUUGACGCAUGUGUUCGAUGAAAUGCCUGCCCGAUUCAAUGUCAAGUCGACCACUACAGACACGGAAGACUUGGGAAUCGAGAAAGGGUGUGCAAAUUUGGGUCCCAGUGUCUCAUCCCAACCCCACCACCGAUGCAGGAAGACUGCCGAAGCCAUCAAUCUUCACAUACGCUUUUGUGAGUGCAGGUAGCUGUGUCGGGGAUGAAACUUUGGGACGCCAUAGAUCUCUGAAGGGGUUGCUUCCUUCGUCUCUAAGGCUGGAAUGGAUAAUUUGCAUGACUGGAGUAAGAGUCCAAGAGGAAGAUGACAAGACAACCUAAAAGAUCAUGGGAGCAAAGCAGAGUGCGACGGCCUCUCUAAGGCUGCCAAUGGUUUCCGAGCCACCAAACCUUGGGGCAGUGCCCAUGAACAGCAGAAAAAAGUAGUGUGGAUUGCAUACGGAUUGCUUUGGAUUCCUAACCAAAAGUAUAAGGUGUUGAAAUAGUAAUAUAAAGGGAAGAAGUAGGCAUCAUCUGAGGUCAUUCCCAUGGCGUCAGCAGCUGCCGACGAAGUACCUCAUGAUCAGACUCAUAGAUUAUGUUUCGAAAUAUUAAAUUAAAAUUUAUGAUUAGAUACAAAUUUUUAUCGUAAUUCAAAUAAUAAUCUUGAGCUUAUCUUCUACAAAUAAAAUAGUCAUGUAAUUUACACAUAAUUUAGAGUAGAGAGUAGAGGUUAGGUAAAGUCAAAAAGAGUUUCACAUCCAUCUAUUUAUUCCAUAUGAAACUCGGCUUUCAUUUAUCUCACUCGAUUAGAGAGAGAGAGAGUAUGGGUCGUAACGAAGAUUAAUUGAUUGGAUGCUUCCCCCUCAUUAAUAGGAGGCUUUGGUCAUUAGUUUCCUGAUGAUAAAAGAAAGAGCUUAAUAUAACCAAAAUAGGGGAUCACAAGCUAAAUUUUGAGUCAUUUGUAUUUUAAAUCUCAUCUUUGUGUAUAAAUUAACUAUCACAUAAUUGAGAUGAUUUUUAGGAUAUCUAAAAGAUUAUAAGUUAUCAUAAUACUUAGUCCUAUGAUUUAUUGUUGUCUAUCAUUUUUUCUAAUUUUUUUAAUAUCAAAUAAAUAAUUCAUUCUUUCUUACUGCAACCUCUGUUUCAAUGCUACAUUAUUAGCUAAGUUUGUGGUGAUCAAUUGUCUUUGGUGUUGUUGUCAAGAACUUUGGAAUAUAUAAUUGGGUUUCAUCUCCAUAACCACAUACUCUGAAUGAAGACAGAAAAAUAGACGCUCAAUGCAACCAGCAGCAUAUAAUAGUUGAGCUAAUUUGUCAAAGGGAGCACCACAGUAUCUAAUGCAAAUCUCUGUUAGAGAUGGGACUUUUUCUUUGUUUGAAUGAAGUCUUCGUUUCAUCGUCAGACACAGUUGCUUCUCUUCGAAACCAAAAGCACAUUUAAUUCCGGACAGCAAUUAUGAGUCGCUUGAGUUGGAGAGAGGGAAGUCAAGGAAACAGGGAUGAGAUUUGGAGAGGAAAGAACACAGGCGAAUUGCAGAAAGAACUCGACAGAUUUCAUUCAUUUACACAAGCAAAAAGAGUUUACAUCGAAAACAUGACAUCGACUCUUAUAAUUAGAGUCGAAUGAUCAAAAGGGGUGGUGAUCUAAACCACACCAAAAAAAGGAUCGCAAUCCGACUCGCAGAUGCUCCCCUCUUCCGCUCCAUCUCUUUCCUCUUUCCUGCAGAGCUCGGACGAGCACCUGAAGCUGUACACAGGAGGCGAAGAGCCUUCUGGUACCGCUAACCAUCCUCGAAGCUCGAAGUAUAGCCGCUCAGCGUCGGCGUGGCGUCGGCAGUGGAGCCAUCGCCGCCUUGUUUGGGCUUCUCCCCGUUCGUGAAGGCCUUCGGCAUGACUGCCCGGAGUAGGCCUCCGAAGAUCCUGGCUUUAACCUGGCCUCGCUUCGGCAGAGGCCUUCCCUUCCUCUUGUUCUCAGGGACUUGGUACUCCAUUGCUCACGAGACCAGUAGCAGAUGGGAGGGCGUGGAGAUGGUGUCGAUGGAGAGACGCCCGAGCUGUGGUGACGGUAUAUAUAGCGGUGGCAAUGGAGGAUUUAGCUUCCUUGCAGCGCACGGUUACAGUGAGGAAGCUUUGAAUGGUUCAACAGAGGACCUCCAAGAGUGAGUCAACUGAUGACCUGAGAGGCGCAUGUGAGAAUUCGGUGCCUGUGGAUCACCGAGGUCGAUGCGAUGCGUUCACACGUGAGACCGGUAACUCUCGUCCUGGAUUACGCUGCUGACUGUAGAUUUCCAGAAUCCAGGAAGCUUUGACAUGAUACGUAGUUCUUACAUCGCGUGCGUCAUCCGUACCAGAUCAAUCUGCAUUAGAACCCAAGUAAGCAGAGUGUUUUCGUGAGGACGGAUCGAGCUUCGUCGGCCUCGGAAUGCCUGUCGAUGAUGUACGGCAGUGCGCUUCUCAGCUUCUUUCUUUUUUGAUGGUGAGAUAAGCGGAUAAAGUCCACCAAGUCGAUAGAUGAUUGAUGUAUGGUUUUGGAAGCAAAAUUGGACACGAGCUUUUCAAUUCUUCUUAUUGUGAUGAUAUUUUGACCAUAUUAAAUGAAUUCAUUAUUGUACACAUAUAUAUAUUAUAUAUAUAUAUAUAUUCAUAUCAUCCAGUUUGAUUCCAUGUUUUCUGUGCAUAUAUAUAUAUAUAUAUAUAUAUAUUCACUGGCUGCUUGUCUCUGAGGAGGAGUUCAAACUUGCAUGGAUGGAUGUGUUCCUUGAUCUCAAGCUGUCUGUCCAGCAUUUUGACAUCAACAUCAGUUGCAUGGCUGGUUACCUCGGCAGAAGCUCCAAGAAACCAUGGAAGAGCACAGGAGAGGGUGAAGCAGAGCGCACAUGCGAGAGGAUAAGAAGUAAAAGGUUAGGCAGCAUUGACCGGUUCUUGUCUGUUGAACAAGAGAAUCCGAAUCCGAAGCUAUCAAUUGCUUGUCCCCCCCGAUGCGAUCUCCAUGGGCUCCACCGGCCGCAUUAGGGGAGCAGGAAAGACAAAGAACACAAGUAAAGAUUAGAUGACUGCACUUCGUUUUCCGGUUGGAAGAAGAAGAAGAAGAAGAAGAAAAAGAUUGCAAGACGACCGGACUUACUUUUCUGACGGCACUGCAGACAGAAGAAGAAGACAGCUCAUCGCGUUGAACGAUUGACGAUUGUUUUGUCAGAUCCGUGACGUGGAAGCUCUCUACUCUCAGUCGGUGUACUGCGGCUUGGUCAACAAUGUGCAUUCUUUGGAACAACUCAUGGCCGAUUUAAUCCAUAGGGAGGACAUCUAAUUUGAUUCAUAAAACUGUAUACAUCUGGUACAAUUGAUUUCAAUUUGACAGUCAUACAUGCAAAAGAACAUAUUUGACCAACAGAAGGAUAAGCUUUGACCAAGUACAAUCUAGAUUUCUUGAAGAACUCCACAUGAAAAACAUGGAAGUUCAAAUCCAAUCAUCUAAGAUACAAGAGAUAUUCUUAAUCAAAGAUCCAAAAAUUCCACCCCAGGAAAAAGAAUUAUUGCUGGGGUAGUAAAGUUUUGGAUAUUUUGGGAGACAAAUUAAUGAAGACAUUAUUUAUAAACAAUGGAGUUAAAAGUACAACAAUUUAAGGUUAAAAGAAAUGAAAGACUAACAUUGCUUUACAUAUUAUUAGUAGUGUGAGGUAUAAAAGAAGAUUUGAGAAAACAUUAAGACAAACGAUAAUACACAGAAAAAAGAUUUAUGCAGUCCAUUCUAAAUAAUUAGGAGAUUACAAUACUUUAACCCUGCUAUCAAAUUAAGUUCAAUAGCUUCUACCUUUUGCUUCAAUGCGACAACCAAUCAACCAUAGCAUUCAUCAUAUGCUGUUUAAAGUAGGUAUUGUGCUAGAGACGAACAAACCGGCCAUUUGGAACAAAUAGAGUUGAAAGAUUGCAAGAAAAGAAAAGAAUAAUCGAGUCUCACAUGAUAUAAAUGAAGUUCACGUGCAUUCAAAUGCAAUCUAACUGAACCAUAGGACUGGUUGAAAGUGUCAACAGAAUGUGGGCCCCGAAGAUAAAUACCACAAGGUUUUAUAUACAUAAGGUAGAAACUCUGUAAUCAAUUACCUUAAAUUAAGUAUCCGGAAAUGGUACGAGUUCAUGCUUUACGAUCAUCUUGGUACCCACCAUGCUUGAAUGUUACCCACUGCUGGUUUCUGCAGGCAUGUAAAGGAAUAUAAUCAAACAAAAUUAAAUACACAUCAGUUUCCUAGAUAAAUUGAGAGUUGCUCGGUACAGGUGGAAAUCUUCAGGUAUAUCUAUAACUAGCAAUCCUUUACAAGGUCAAUGGCAGGCAACAAAAAAGGCCAAGACUAACAUCAUCGAAAUACACUAGAUAGAAGAUCAAGCCUGUACCACUCAGAAAAUAUAGAUGGCAUGUCAUACAGUCUUUCAGACAUUAAUAAUUUCACUAUUUAUAUACUUCUUUGGUUCAAAAAUAAUAAAUCUUUUAACUGAUUAAUGUUCUUUUUUUUUUCUUUUGGAGAUUGAUGUUCAUAUUAAGACAAUAAAAGAUGUGUUACAACAAAUGAAUGGCAACAUAAUUAACUUAGUAUCGAUAAGGUCUUAUCAAGAUACCAUAUAAUGAACUCACAUUUAACGUUGAUAAUUUUAGCAUAGCAUGAGAAAUAUUAUAUCAUUGCGUCUGGCUAGUGGACAUUCACUAGUGUUGAUAAGGUAAUCUUGACUAGGGAGUAGGGAUACCUACUUUUAAUGCAGUAAUUGAACCUUAGCCUACUUUAUCACACUAGAAUAUAAUCUUUUAUCUUCAUUUAAUGAAUAUCCGUCAUUUGAUACAAACACCUUAUUUCCAAUUAUUAAACUAUGAUGCAUAAUUUUUUUUUCAAAUUGAUAUAAUGUAUUCAGAAAGAAUUUAAUACGAUCAAUUUCUCAGGUUUACCGAUAAAUACCAUAUUCUUAUCCAUGAACAUGUCAUAUGCAAAUUACAUUUAGAAAUAAUUAUUCACAACUGGUUGCUAAAAGAUCUGAGACUUCGUUAUAUGGUGUAUCAUUGUCAUUUGGUUCACUUAUGAAUAGACAAUAAAACACAGCCAGUCAAUUUCACCACUCUAGAUGAUACACUACUUAUAAGGCUACAGUCCACACAACCUUGUCAUUAGGCUGAAAAGAACAUUACUUUUAGACUAUAUCUCAAUACCAACUUAAAUGCUUAACUCCACACAACUAUUCAAGUCUCAGAAUUUCAAUCUACUGUCAUUUUCAUUUCGAGGUCAUAGUUCCAAGUCUAGCGGCACAGAUGGAGUUAGACCUGCCCGUUAUGUGGUUAAUCAUGAGUUCUCUGUUCUAUCUCUCUGAAUUUUCAGAGUAUGUCAGGGAUUUGCAUGUUUUCUAAGUUUAAGUCUAGAUAUUACCCUGCAAAAUCUAAAAUAUUUACAUGUAUGCCAUUGCAGUUAAUCUCCUCACUAUUAUUUAAGUGUUAGUUGAAAUUGUAAUUGACAUUUACCUUCUAAAAGCUAUUAUAAUAACCAAGGGUAUUUUAGGUAUUUUAUAUUAUUUAAAUUAAAACUAGCUAUUGGUACUGAUAGGGACAGUGGUAAACUUAGGAAAGCAUAUUCUAUCUAUACUGUAGAAUUAUUCCCUUGGGCCCAGCCUACUAUAAAGCCACCAAUUUUUUAUUACCAAGGUCAGUUACUGUUUACCCAUGAUUCUACUUUCCACUCGGUCCUAACUUGUGUGUCGGAGAGACAAGGUUGGGCACCCCACCCAUCUCUAGUCUUCGUGCAAGUUGACGCCUCAGCGGACACCCGAGAUACCCCUUGGCCAUUCUUGAACUCUUGCGCAUGCGUCCAAUUCAAGCUGACGGAGACAUCACUGGCAAUCACACCAUUGGGUAGCUACAAGUAAUGGUUGACAUGAGUCUUCCUGAUGGAUGUUAACAGGAGGGCAUAUGAGAAUGGUCUCAAUAUUUGGGGGGCAUAUAUACUUGUAUUAUAAUUGCAAGGGCAAAUACACUAUUUCCAAACCCUGCAAGGACAGAUAUGCAAGGAACCCCAACAAAAAACAGCAUCCUAUAUUGAAUCCGAUCAAGUAUUAGACUUGGAUCUGUCAGUUUGAUGGGUUAAAAUGACAACCUGAUCCUCACCAUCCUUCAGCUUACCACUAACAGUCUAUUAAAAAAGUAUUACAUUAUACAAGAGAAUCAUGCCUUCUACCCUUUUGGUUAUCUCAUCUUUAUUUACUUAAAGAGGGUUGGCAUCCCAAUCUCAUUUCAGCCAAUUCCAUGAAAGAGGAUGAGAAUAUCAAUCCAAAUGCAUUUACAUUUAUUUGAAUUGAAAUAUUUGGUAGGAUCUACCUUUUCAGAAGUGCAUUUACUCAUAUGAAAGCUAAACUUAUUCUAAAUGUUAAGAACAUAGGAUCCUGCUUUCCGAAGAAAAAAAAGAUAAAAGUAAACUAAUGCAGCUAGAUGAGUUAUAAGAACAACCAUUAGGGCCAUCCUAGACUUGUUCAUAUCGAGCUUUGGAAGCGAUAUGGUGUAAAACCAAAGGUCUUUGAGUUAAGUGCCCAAGACAUCAAUCAAUUGGAUCACACACAUUCUACUGAAAAUCCAUCUAAUUGCUAGUAUCAUACUCAAACUAUUUGCAGUGAUGAACAUUGCAAAUAGUGCAUUCAUGCAUAUACCUCAAAACCUAACAUUGCCUGAUCUAGAGAACUGCAAAUAUAGUUAAAAUCCCUUAAUAAACACAGUCAAAAACUUAUUUUCCACAAAGACUCUAACAAUGAGCGAUGUCCAAAUCUUUGCAAUACAAAAAAGGCACAAGCUUUAUUAAAUCCAACAUCUAACUUCCCAAUUGAAGAAAGUAAUAUAAUCCAGAUAGAAUGCAAGGAAAUGUCUUACCAGAAGACAAGUUCAUAGCCAAUCCCUCUGCUGUAUCUUGAGGGGCAAAUACACCUCAGUGAGAUACUGGAAGCCGAAUGAACUGAGCGCCUGUAUCUCAGCCUUUUGCCUUGUCUUCACCAUCAUAUCGAGCUCCUUGACCCACCCACCAUUCCUCUUCACGAAGUCCUCCUCCAACAAGUCUUUCCCAGCCUUGACGUCCUGCUCCGUCAUGGGUAGACGGCACUGCUCCGGUACCCUGUACUUGUCCAGAUCACUCGGUCGGACACCCAGCCAUUUGAUGUCCGGCGUCGUCAAGUUUGAACUGUCGUAAGACAUGUUCUUUGAUCCACACAUGUACACGGAGAGGAUCUUGAGGCCGUAGGGAUCACUGUCGACCAGCGCGAGGACCGGCAGCUUGAGCUCGGUCUUCAUCCGCCUAAGGAAGAGCCUGGUGGCCACAUCCGGUUGGCCCUUGGCUGUGACGAUGAUGCAGGGGAACCUGUUGUAGAAGCGGUCCUCGGCCAGCCGCAUGAAGGCGGCGUCCUUCUCCACGAGGAGGAUGAAGAGGGCAUCGCUCUCGAGGUUGCCGACGCGGUCGAUGUUUGGAGGGAUGGCCUUCCCGCCGAUGCCCAUCUUGGUGCAGUCAAUGCGAUCACCGUCAUCGGUGAAGACAAGGCGGCCGACGACGACGCCCUUCUCGGAGGCAACGACGUGGAGGGAGGAUCGCGUGCAACCGAGCAUGCAGGAGACGUCGUCGAGGACGGCGUCGGACUGGGACUGGUCCUGGAAGAGCUUGACGUCGGUGUAGAAGAGAUCGCGCUUGGUGACGUGGAUGUCGCGACGAAGGACGAGGUAGACGAGAGAGAGGACCCUAGCAGUAAUGGUGGCCUUGCGGACGGUGGAGAGGCUGGCGAAGGGGCGGGAGGAGGACUUGUCGCGGAGGACGAUGCGGUCCAGCUCGGGGACGUAGAGCUGGUUGGAGGCGGCGCGGGAGGGAACAUCGAAGGAGAAGCCGCGGCCAGCGAGAAUGGAGCGGGCCAUCGCAAGGACGGCGCGCUCGAUGGCGAGCUGCACGGAGGCGGCGUCGCAGUCGGAGACCUCGCGGCAGGCGGCAGAGAGGCUCAGGUCUGAGAGGGUGAGGGCCUUGGAGGACGAGGCGGCCGACUGGGCAGCAUCAUACAUCUCGCGGACAGAGGCGAGGAUCUCGGCGUCGGGCUUCAGCAACUUCCGCAGCCCUUGGGCGUGGGAGUCCGGCCGCCGCAACUUCUUCGAGGCUGCGGAGGCCGCCGGGGGGCCCGCUUCGGUGCGGCGUCGCUUCUUCUCCGACAUCGGGCGAGGAGGAGCGAGACGGAGAGCGGCGGUAGGUAAGAAGUCGAAGAAGAACGGCAAGUGGUUGUUUCCUCUCUGCAUUCUAGGGCUUCGUUGGGAAGGCAUUGGGCCGGGCUUCAUUCAAUGGCCAUGGAAACUGUAAUGGGUGAAAGAAUUGGGCUGUCCCUAAUUAUUUGGGAUUCGGGGGCUCUGAAUUAGAUGGAAUGAAAAAAUAUUUGCAAGAAGAGUUCCACAUAUGACAGCUAUUGGAGGAUAAGACCUGUCUACUUUGUCCGUCCGCACUAUGAGUUCCACAUGUGACAGCUAUAGGGGGAUAAGACCUGUCUACUUUGACAGCUAUAGAUUGUCCUCUCGUUAUUUAUUUCAUGGGACAUUCUUUUUUAUUUUAUCUGAUAUAAAAUGAUACUUUCGAUACAGAUCAGAUUUUUUACUAUUUUAGUGUAUUUAUUAUUUUUUAUCUUUCAUCACGAGACUUACUUCAGUAUUGUAGAGGUCGGAUCGAAAAAUCCAUAUACAACCUAGAUCAUUAUGUAUGUCAUCUCUAAAGCAUACGAGUGCAUCAAAUGCCUUCACGUCACCUCGUCCUUCGUGUGCACGCAAACUCGAAUCAUGUCAAGUUGAUUAGGACAUCAUCAAUAUUUUUACUUAAUAUUUUGACACUAAAAGAAGGACUCAUGUCGUAUGAGUGUCAGCGCGCUGACCUAUUGAACAAGCGUUUUAUCGAAUAGAGUCCACCCUUGAGCUACUACAAUACUUUUACUUAAGAAGAGCAACAUCUAUCAUUUUUGAAUCUUGAAGCUUCCACCUUGGCGUAAACGUUGCUGAGGUACUGGUGUUUAUUUAAUGACUUAGGUCUCUCACCUCUAUGGACAACCUUGACCCACAUACUCAUCCUCGUUGAGAUCUUCCUGGACCUCACUCAACAAGUAUAGACAUUGAUAGGGGUGAUACCGACUAUCACCCUGCUCCUAUCUCAAUUGGUCCAAUUAGUGAUACCUCCAACCUUGGCACAAUCUAUAGUACCAUUAACGCCCGUCGAGAUUUCUGAUCGAUGUGACAUUGACCUCCCAAGAAUGCUCGAGGCCCAUUGAGCUCCCAAUAAAGAGGGCAAUCUAAUCCUCAACCAUGCGGUUAAAUAGACCUCACCAUCCUAAGUUUGUCUUACCUGAGUCUAAGGCACAAUCUGUAGACUUUAUGGGGGACACCAUUUGAGCAUAAUUAUAACAUAUGGAUUAGUGCCUAGAGGAUACGUGUUGGGAGUUUCUACUAUACAAGGGGGAAGACUUGAUUAACCUCAUGUCGGGUCGAUCAUCAUUUAUUUAGAAGAUCCAAGAGGGGUUUAAUGGUGCCAACUUUUGAUUCCUGACCUUAGAGGCAUUUGAUGGUUAUGUCGACUUGAUCAAGCACAUCAAAGCUUUCCACGCUCAAAUGUCCUUGUACAACACAUCGAAGGCACUAAUGUGUUGCACUUACCCGACCAUAUUACAAAAUUCAAUAUGAGAGUGGUACACUUAUUUGAAGCCACUUUCGAUUAGCUCAUUCAGCCAACUAGCAAAAAAGUUCAAACAACUCUUUAUUAGGAAUGUACGAUCUUAGCAUUCAACAACAACCAUCCUGAGACUAUGCUAAGGGAAGGAAGAGAGACUCUCGGACUUCGUUGCCUAAUUCGCAUACGAGAUCCAAGGCAUAGUCGAUACCCACUCGUCGCUCCUCAUAUAGACCUUUAUUGGAUUAGAUCAUCCCGACUUUUUCAAUUGCUAAUAAAGAGAUCCCCAACGAUAGUACCCAAGAUACUUUAGAGGGUCAAUCAAUACAUCAUCGUUAAGGUAAAAGUCUUAGAUAAGCAUAAGAAAUUAUGCAAAAGGUCGAAGCAAAAAUAGCCACCACUUGAAUAUCUCACUCGAGGGAUGCCCAAGGAAGUAGAGGCAUCAAAAAUUUGCCUCUAACCAUUAGCAAACCAUUAAUGAUAAAAUAGACAAAUGGUUAUGUACUGGAUUUAUUUUCGAGGUGUAAUAACUCUAGUGGCUCGCUAAUGUUUUACUUAUAAAAAAUCUAAUAAAAACUGAUGGAUAUGUGGUACCAAGUCAUGCUUUUCAGAUUGACGAAUGUUGGAAUGACCUACUCAAGGAUAAUGAACAAAAUGUUCAAGCAUCGGAUAUAAGAGAAAUGUUGGGGACUAUAUGGAUGACAUGAUCGAGAAAAGCAAGAUGGCUGAUACGCUCUUACAAAGGUGAGCAUCAAAAAAUGACCAAUAUUCUCUCCUUGGGAGUGUGCAUUUCAAUGGCACUGAUAUGUCCCUAUAGGGGUGAGCAUUAUAAAACGUUCGAUGCGCUUUUAUCGGGAGUGAGCAUCUCAACCACAAGGCACGUCUCGAGAGAUCACCAUCUUUGUCAAACUCCUAAGGUGCGUAGGUUGGCUAAGCCCAACCCUUAGUUAAGCAAGUUAGCCAAUGCCUUAUGUGGCCAACCUAGUGCAAUUUGCAUGAUGCAAAUUGAUCGAAUGAGAUCUUAUCACAUGAUGGAGGCAUCUCGAGCAAAAACUAGAUCCAAUCGAGAGCUAUGGCAUCCCGAGUAGAACAAGAUUUCAUUGCUCGAGGUGAGUUCAUCAGCCAUGCUACGAUAAGUCAAGUGAAAUUAUUUUCCCAAUGGUGGGGAUCACGCUUCCUUCACUUAAAGCGGGUCUCUUGGUAGAUCGAUCAAGCGACCAAAACCUAAUCUUCUAGGUCAGCAUGCAACAAGGCAGAUUGAGCGACGAUGAGGCCUUCGCAUCACCUCCACUAUAGAGUGAUAACCUUUUAAAUUAUGACUAACCCAUGGCCCAAUGUGGUAUCUCAUAGUAUCCCUACUGUAAAUCGAGCGAUGACAUGCGCAAAAUGAUGUUAAAGUGCUACAGAUUGCUUCGAUAACAACCAUACCCUGCCACGACCUUCUUCGAGCAUCUCCAAAGAAUAGGAUCGGAGUCUUGCCCAAUCUAGAAAAGGAUAAGUUCAAUAAUGACCAGCUUCCACCUCCCGAUGCAACUAUCAUGACUCUUUUGUUACAAUAGUAGGUCAGCCAUAUCCACUAUUGCCCGAAAUGUGCAUCUCGAUAACUCCUAUUGCCACCCCCGUUGAACCAUACAAGGCCCUCUACUACUUUAAUGUAUGUCACGUGGCCUUUGUCGUCGCCUAGAUUGGGAACCACACAAAGUGAACGGAUCGAUCACAACUUUCAUGUCGCCUGAUGAUGAGGGAAAAUAUCAUUAUUGUUUGGUCAGCUCGAAGUCAUCUGGACUCAUAUGUACAUGGUUAUCUAAGGUACUUCCGAGGUGGAAACAUUAAGGUGACUCUGAGAUGGAAACACUAAGCUUCCGAUGUGCCAUCUACAUGAAUAUUGAGGUCAAGAGAAAUAUUUUUGAGGGAGAAUACUAAGUGAAAUAUUUUUUGGAUUCUUGUCCAUGUUGACAAGAGGGUAAAAGGUGACCUAGACUUCAUAUGACGAUUAUGUGUUAAAUGAUGAUUAACUAACAAUGUAUUCCCUAUCAUUAUUGAGGCUUUUAUAAGAGGGGCUCGAAGUGUGGCAUUUAGUUUAUCAAAUAUGAUAGCAUUCGAGAUUUACUCUUCGCGGGUUUGGUUUUUUCGACUCAUGUACCUCGAGAACAUUUUAUCUUAUGCUUCCAUCAUAAUAUAUUUGUUUUUAUGCGGGUCAGGGUUUUUCGACUCACGUGUUUCGAGCGUAUUUUACUAUGCACUUCUAUUGUAACAGAUUUUUUAUUGGGGUCAGAUUUUUUUUUACUCAUGUGCCAUGAGUAUUUUUUACCUUAUGCCUUUUCCAUGGCAGAUUUCCUUUCAUACGGGUCAAGUUUUCCUGCCUCACACAUCUUGGGCAUAUUUGACCUUGCACCUCCAUUGUGGUUGUAAAUUUCUCUUUACAUGAAUCGGGUUUUCUCGACAAUAUAUUCUGUAUCAUUUGUCCCCCAUUCUCGAAGGUUUGUUUUGGGACUCUUGCGAGAGGGAGUUGAAAUAUGAUAUUUAGCUCAUUUGAUGUUAGAGCGUUCAUGAUUUCCUCUUCACGGGUUGGGUUUUUCCAAUUCACAUGUCUUAGACACAUUUUGCCCUAUGGCAGAUUUCUUCUCAUGCGGGUCAAGUUUUUUUGACUCGUGCAUUAUGGAUGCAUUUUAACCUAUGCUUUUGUCAUGGUAGAUUUUUUAUGCAGGUUGAUUUUUUCUGAUUCAUAUGCAUCGAACAUAUUUUACUUUAUGCCUCUGUUGUAACAUAUUACUUUACAUGAGUUGAUUUUUAACUCACGCAUCUUAGGCAUAUUUUGUCCUAUGCCUUGAGCACAUUUGACCUUGUACAUUUACUGUGGUGGAUUUCUCUUUACACGGGUCAGGUUUUCUUAAUUCAUGCACCUCGGGCAUAUUUGGUCUCGUGUCUCUAUUAUGACAAAUUUCUCUUAUAUGGGUUGGGUUUUUCCGACUGAUGUGCCUUGAGCAUAUUUGGCUUUUAUACUUUUAUUGUGGCAUAUUUUUCUUUACAUGAGUAGAGUUUUUUCGACUUAUGUGCCUCGAGCAUGUUUAGCUUUGCACCUUCGCCAUGGUAUAUUUCUUUUUAUGUGGGUUAGGCACAUUUGGUUUUAUGCCUCUACCAUGAUGAAUUUCUCUUCAUGUAGGUCAAGUUUUUUUAACUCAUGUGCUUUGGGUAUAUUUGGCCUUGUGCCUCUAUCGUUGCAGAUUUUGAUGCUUUUCGAGUCAUUCAUCCGAUGCUUUUUGAGUCCUUCAUCGGUGCUUUUCAAAUCCUUCAUCCGACACUCUUCAAGUCCUUCAUCUGACACUUUUUUGUGUCCAUCAUUUGGUGCUUUUCGGAAUUAUUCCAAAGGGACACUUGUCUUAAUUAUAAGAGAAGAGAGACGACUACUCCCUUAUAAAUCCCCCCUUACUAUGUAGGUGAGGCUCAUUCCUCCAUUUGAGCUUCUAGAGGCUCAUUUCUCCAUUUGAGCUUCCAGAGUCUUCUUAUAAGCCUUCUAUACUUCAUUUUUGUUUCCUACAUGACAAAUCGAUCCUCGAGUCCCUCAUAGUCACAUCGUCGAUCUUACAAUAGAUCGAUCUUUCACCAUCAUGCUCUUCCACCUACUUAGGUUGGAAUAUCUCAUCUUUCUUAUAUAUAAGCUCCUCCCGAUCUAUUGGCCGCCAAACAAUCGAGGACCUUGACCUCCCUUUCAUUAAGGGAGAUAAUUCCAAUGAACCCAAAAGUUCUUCGGAACUUAGAAUCCAUAAAAAACUCAUAUGACUAUGAUCCAAUGGUGAGUCCAUAAAGUAUUCCGACCACAUUGGAUCACCUCCACCAACAUUUGGCUGAUGCUGAAUAUCAUCAUCAGACACGUCACAUUUGACCCACGUUGAAUAGACUAAGGACGGUAGUGUUGAUCUAUCAUAUGGUGAUGAAGUUUUCGAUAAAAAUUGACAUUGGAGAAUUGAAAAACAAUUCGAGGGAGUCAUGCCGGUGUUACCUUAUAAUGAUCUUCCUAUCGAAGAAAACAUAAUUCGAGAUGUCGCCUAUGGAUCCAUGAAAUUUUGCCAAGUCCUACUUGCAUCUAGAGUCGGUGGAAUAAUCGAUUUAGACACUUCGUAUAUAAAAUUUGUUCCAAUUAAAUUAUUAAAAUUGGGUUGUUACGGAGAAUGACAAGAUUUACACAAUUUAAAAAUAACCUUACAAAUCUAUAUUAUGACGUGAUCAAUAAAUAUUCUAUUAAUAUUUAAGUUAAUAAAAAUUUAAAUUUAUCAUAAUUUCUUUUACUUGGUUAUAUGACUCAUUUAAAGGGAAUCUUUCAUAGUGAAUCAAGAUAGCCAUUAAACAAAGAGAAGAGUUAAUUUGAUGUUAAACAGUCGAUCAUGCUGUCAUGCUUUGAAUAGUCGGAUGUUGCGUCUACUAGUAUACUACUUCAUGUUGACCGUCGCGGCGGCAGUCAUGCGUUGCCAUCACGCUAGCGUAUCGUCAGCAUCGACGUAGGAUGAGUCUUUGACCGACAUGCGGAACGAUGAGAUGCACGAUUAGAUACAACGAGCCUCGAAAAAUUCAAGGAUUUUUCUUUCGAAUUUACCAGUAAUGCAUACGCAAAAUAUUUACCUUAAAUAAUUCUACUCGGUUAUUGGUGAAAUUUCGCUGAAAUCUACUGUUAGUAGUGAUAGAAGACUAUAAUGGAGGCACCGGCAAAGAAGCGGAGAAAGCAUUCGACGCACGGCUCCGGUCAAUGCCAUCAGCAUCCUCGAGAAUGGCAUUCCUCAUCGCGCUCCUUACCUCGAGGUAGAUGAUAAAUAUUUUUUCCAGAUAUUGAUGUGUUGGUCGCUAAAGUUUGAUUUUUUUUAGUAUUGUCGUUUGACUUGAUGCCUCAAUCCACCAAUUCUUCCUUCUCCUCCACUGUGGAAGCGUCGCCGCCCAUCAUCUCCGUAACAUGGACGGCAUCCAAAGUCGAUGGCAGUCACGUGCUCCGUCUCCUUCCGACAGUGUCGCGGUGCCACUAUAUAUUACGUCCAAGGGAGGUGGGGAGCUCAGGCGAGUCUCACCUCGAAGUAUCUCGGAGAUCCUCCCAUGGCCGCCGUAGCGCCCAGCAAGUAAUCCCUUCUCUUUCCUUCCGGAUUUUUCUCUUGUUCUUCAUCUGAUGCGCUUUGUUUCUUUCCUUCUUCCUUCCCCCUUUUUGUAGAUUGGCGUCUCUUCCCCCCAGUCUCACUGCCGCAUCGGAGCCACCUGCCCUCUUCGAUGGCACCACCAGGCAUCCAAACUCGUCUCUUUCUUUUGAUUUAUGCUGAAAGAUUCGAUUUUUAUUCCUCGGUUGAUGAAAUCCUCUUUAUUUUGGGGUUGGUCUGUAUUCCAGGUUGUACGUAGCGUACGUUUGCCCAU